CUAACUACGUGCCAGCAGCCGCGGUAAUACGUAGGGGGCUAGCGUUAUCCGGAUUUACUGGGCGUAAAGGGUGCGUAGGCGGUCUUGCAAGUCAGGAGUGAAAGGCUACGGCUCAACCGUAGUAAGCUCUUGAAACUGGGAGACUUGAGUGCAGGAGAGGAGAGUGGAAUUCCUAGUGUAGCGGUGAAAUGCGUAGAUAUUAGGAGGAACACCAGUUGCGAAGGCGGCUCUCUGGACUGUAACUGACGCUGAGGC
rnacentral:rRNA from 1 species